AAAAUAAAAUAAAAAUUACGCAAAUUCCUCAACCAGGUCCACCGGUUUGCUGGAUUUUGAAGAUGCCUUCUUUCCGAUGAAGCACCAGAGCAACACUAAAACGAACAGGAGGGCUUUAGCUGCAAUGGUGUUAAGUUCUCUAUGGUUGCAGCAGCAAUGAAGGUUUAGGCGACGCCGCGACGGAUACAGUACAGUGUCGAGGUGGUGUAGCCGCAGAGCUGGAUGUUACCGGCGAAUGAGGUGGAGUUGAAUUUCUUUGAUAUAAGAGAUGGAACAACGCCGGACAGAUUGUUGUAGGAGACAUCGCAUGAAGUGAGGUUUGAAAGAUUGGACAAAGAAUAUGAGAUUUCUUCGGUGAGACUAUUUCCGGACUAUUUGGCGUAGGUUAUUUCGGAUAUAUCUAAGGCUCGUUGAUAAAAAAAAAUUAAAGUAUUGUACUAUGGAGAAGGCUUCUGCAGCUACGCCUGAAAUCCGACAAAUAAAACUGGAAAAUAUGUAAAUGUUAGCGCACGAUGUGAUCAUGCCUAUCAUCUGUUCGAAGAAAUGUCUUAAAGUGGUGAAACAAGUGAAAUGUAACAAUGAUUGGAAAUCCAUAGUAGCGAUGUAGAUGCGUCAGAAUGCAGAGUAGGCAAAUGAGGUGCCGAAUGGGAUGGAGCACUACUCUUGUUUGCAAAGAAUGAGUUUCCUUGUUGAAGCAAAGAAUGCAUGAUCCCAGGAUUUGCUCUAAAUGUGUUGCAAGCAUUUUGAUUGUCGCUUCGUUAGGCAUGAACUCAACCUGAGUUGUGUUUUUGGGUCAUUUCGUUAAUCUCUAAUGAUACCGAAGACCUUUCCUCUCAAGGGUUAUGCUGAUUAACGAAACUUAGGAAUUUGCUGUUCGUGGAGAAGGGUAGCUGUAAGCUGAAGCUGUGGACAUGAAAAAGGCAGAGCGAGAAUCAUUUAACCGAAAUUUCAACAACAGGCAACCUUGGCUGAGAGUAAUGGCCGGUGGCGACAACCACUGCAUCGUAGACUUCUUCAACCUCCUUCUCCGCCUUGCUUUUCACCACCCACUUCAAAUGCUCCUUGUCAAGAACAGGGUAGUCCAACAUCUCCACAUUUUCAACCCGAGUGUUGAACCGUAUAUACUCUCUCAAUCCAAACGUGUCACAGAAAUCUUGCAAGUACAGAAGAAGUUCGUUAUGGCCAGGAAACCUCCUCAUAUCCCUGCCUUUCUUCCCACCAAAUGGGAAAUCAGUGAACCCCAUGAUUUCUCUAGGCGAAAUCAACCUCAACGAGGCGUAGAUGCUGCUAUGAACCUUCAAGAACUGGUUUUUUCCCAGAGGGUUUUCUUCCUCGACUUUAGAGUCAUAUAGCCAUUGCCCUCCAACAUCAUGCUUUUGUUCAAUAACCACCACUUCAUGGCCCUCUCUCCUCAGCUCCCGGGCUGCGACCAGACCGGCCGGUCCAGCUCCGAUCACGCACACUUUCUUGGACAAGUUCCUUUCGGAAACCAUUGUUAUUUUGGGUUCAGUUAUCUCACUAUUUUCUGAGUAGAUGUAUAUGAGCUGUGACAAGAAAUGUGUGAUUGAUAUGGGUGCUCGGGAGGCUAUUUAUAGUUCAAAACAAGACUAGUGUUCUAAAUAGGCGACCGACGUGAAACAUUAUUAUCAUUUUUCCAUAAUACAGCUAUGUCGGGGGAGCCAUCUUUUGGAAUCUUAAACUGAAAGAAAUAAUUAAUGAGUUUUUUUCCUCGA